GAAUCCAUCCAGGACCUGCACCCCUGAAUCCGAAGAUGAAGAAAUAUGCGUAAGUUGAUUGCAUCCAUUAAUCAAAUAUCUACAACACAUUGUACUGAUGUGCUGAAGUUUCGAUGAUUUCGAUUGGUCACUGACAUAACCUCCUAUUUCUCAUUUUGUUUAUAGGUAUUCAACGUGAGGAAUUUCAUACUUUUGGUGUGGUGCUAGCAAGUAUAGUGACCAAAGAUAGUGAUGAGAAAGGGUGGAGCUGAGUAUGCCACACAUGGAUAUGAUUAUUCCCCGUAUGUUCUUUUUGGCAAUCCACUUCAUCACUGACUCAUCUGUGUAUGGGUGAGCUAACAAGCAUGUAUUAUGUCUUCCCUCUUUCUUUGUAAGUGAAGGAUUUCAGAUUGCUGUGCAUUAUUCAACUGCUAUACUUGUGAAAGAGAAACGUGCUAAACUAUAGUACUUCCUCCGUUGCAUGAUGAGUUUCAGCGACUCUUAUUUUGGGAUGGAGGGAGUAGUAAAUUACUUUUUUUUUCUUUGUUGAUGUGAUAAUAAUUAAGUUUAAAAAUAUGUCAUCUUUUAUUUCAGUAAUAGGGUAGAGCUAAGGUGGCAUAAGUGUGUGGCUACGGAUUACAUCACGGAUUAUGUGCUACUUUAUUAGUUGAAGUCUCUUUGUUCGGUUAGUUCUCUAAAACAGAACCAUUUCUCCUGGUGUAUAUGUUUCUUGGCAACAUUUGGUGUAAUACUAAUCUUCCAGAGAUUAUUGUAAGAAAUAACUAUAUUUAGUAUCUUUAUCUCAUCAAUGGGCUAAUUCUAUAAAAAGAACUAAUAAGGAGAUUUCUUAGCAGUACUGUAUAUGUUUGGAGCAAUGAGGUCAUUUUAUCCUAUGUUACUUUCUUUCUCUUGCAUUUCCUAAUUUUGCUUUCCACUCCAUUUUUUCAGGUUCCAAAGUUUGGCCACAACUAGCUUGAUUCGGAGACAUUUCGUAUUAGGAGUUAAACUUUGGUUUGGAGGCAUUGAGCUUUGCUAGUAACUAGCUUUGUUACUUGGUAUACUUCUGUCAGCAUUCAGGUAAACAACUAUCUACCACAUUGUUUAAUCUGUGGUUUACCCGGUGCCAAGUGUACUAUAUUGCUAGAUUUAACUUUAACCUAUGUGUUGCUCCGUAUGUAUCUCGGCAUAAAUGGUUCAUCAUACUAGGAUGCAAUGUAGUGAUCUUACUUCUGUUGCUUCUUGGUGAAUAUAAAUUAUAUUGCGUUUUCAUGGAAGCAGGAGCCCCGUAGUUGUGUAGCGGGUCGCGGGAGAGGCAGCCGGUGAGUGUGAGCUGGACGGGAAAGUGAUGCCUGCGAUGGCGAACCAUGCCGGCGGGCAGGGCAGGGUCGACGCUCUAAAUGUACCGCCUGACAGCUUGUCUUAGUCUUAAUAAAAGUGCAUAUCUGCAGCAUCCUUUCAUUUAUUUGGCAUAUCCUACUUUAAAAAAUAUCCUUGACUCGCAUCGAUUUCAAAUAACUGAAGUAUCUUCUCUGCUCAUGUUUCCACAUAAAGCCCAAUCAUGUAUAUGUACUGAUGGCAGCAUGCAUU
rnacentral:lncRNA from 1 species